ACCUGUCUGGCUCAUUCUGUAGAGCAUGGGACUCGUGAUCUCAAAGUUGUGAGUUUGAGUCCCACAGUGGGCA
rnacentral:tRNA from 1 species